rnacentral:rRNA from 1 species
AAUAGAUACCCGGGUAGUCCACGCCGUAAACGAUGAGUGCUAAGUGUUGGGGGGUUUCCGCCCUUUAGUGCGUGCAGCUAACGCAUUAAGCACUCCGCCUGGGGAGUACGGUCGCAAGACUGAAACUCAAAGGAAUUGACGGGGGGCCCGCACAAGCGGUGGAGCAUGUGGUUUAAUUCGAAGCAACGCGAAGAACCUUACCAGGUCUUGACAUCCUCUGACAACUCUAGAGAUAGAGCGUUCCCCUUCGGGGGACAGAGUGACAGGUGGUGCAUGGUUGUCGUCAGCUCGUGUCGUGAGAUGUUGGGUUAAGUCCCGCAACGAGCACAACCCUUGAUCUUAGUUGCCAGCAUUUAGUUGGGCACUCUAAGGUGACUGCCGGUGACAAACCGGAGGAAGGUGGGGAUGACGUCAAAUCAUCAUGCCCCUUAUGACCUGGGCUACACACGUGCUACAAUGGAUGGUACAAAGGGCUGCAAGACCGCGAGGUCAAGCCAAUCCCAUAAAAACCAUUCUCAGUUCGGAUUGUAGGCUGA